rnacentral:rRNA from 1 species
AGCGAACGCUGGCGGCAGGCCUAACACAUGCAAGUCGAACGAACCUUUCGGGGUUAGUGGCGGACGGGUGAGUAACACGUGGGAACGUGCCUUUAGGUUCGGAAUAACUCAGGGAAACUUGUGCUAAUACCGAAUGUGCCCUUCGGGGGAAAGAUUAAUCGCCUUUAGAGCGGCCCGCGUCUGAUUAGCUAGUUGGUUGGGGUAAUGGCUCACCAAGGCGACGAUCAGUAGCUGGUCUGAGAGGAUGAUCAGCCACAUUGGGACUGAGACACGGCCCAAACUCCUACGGGAGGCAGCAGUGGGGAAUCUUGCGGAAUGGGCGAAAGCCUGACGCAGCCAUGCCGCGUGAAUGAUGAAGGUCUUAGGAUUGUAAAAUUCUUUCACCGGGGACGAUAAUGACGGUACCCGGAGAAGAAGCCCCGGCUAACUUCGUG